GCAGGAUCAUGUUUCCCUUUUUUUUUUUUUUUUUUUUUUAAUCUCAAAAGGAAUUAUUCAUGGCAGAACUUAUCUCCACGCUAUAUCUCUUCUUCCUCAAGAAAUCGUGGGAAGGAAAUUUUCAUCGCAGCGUGUCCUCUUAUGGCAACAAAAAUCUUAUUGUAUUUUGCAGCUCGAGGCAAUCGAGCUUUUUCAAGAGGAAUUAAAUUGGCAGAUUUUAUUUUCACAAUAUCUUUCUUUCUUCCUCAAACAACGAAUGAAAGGAAGGUUUCCAUAGGUGAUGAGAGUCCUUCAAAUAUAUAAAGAGGUUCAAGGCAUUAGAUUUUUUAUACGAAUUUGAAGCAACCAUUACAGAUACAAUCUUUGCCUUUGUUUUUCUUUUCGUCAGUGGUGGCUGAAUUUCAUUGGUGAGCUCAAUCAUCCAUGGCUGUUAGAAAUCAGUUUUGGGGUUCUACAUACCAACUGUUCGACAGAUUGCCCGAGAAAAUUUCCUCUUAUAUUUCAACUUUUCGUUCAUCAGUUUUGAUGCGUUCCUAAUCGUGCAUUGAUUUUUUUAUUUUGCAGGCCCUGUUGGUAUCUGUAGGAGCUUGCUUGGACUAAGUUAUUUCACUACUGUCUUUGCCUCAAAUUCGUGGCUUACUUGUAAGUGAUUACACUAACCAAAGCCUCUUCUUUCCUUGUAAGUUUUUGAAAUCAGUGGCUUCAAUCAUGGUGAAUUUUUUUUAAUGGCAAGUCUGAAUUAGUUGAAAUUUGUAUUUGUAAUGGCGCUUGAUCUGAUUGGAAUGCUCUGUUCGUGCUCCUUUUUUUUUCAAAUAACUUUUAUUUUCAACGGAUUCUACUAUAUUUCUUCACUUUAAAUCUUUUGUUGCCCUCAAACUCAAAUAUUUGUAGAGCAUAUACACAUGCUUUUAACCAUAAAAUUCAUCAAUUUUCUUGAUGCUAGUGUGCAUGUCAUAUAACACAUGAGAUAUUUGACCUUGUUGUACUUCUUAAAAGCACGNN
rnacentral:lncRNA from 1 species